CAGAUAAUUUGACAACAUUGAUCCUUGCAUAGCCUUGUGUUUCAGAUUUUCUCCUCACCAGCUCCCAUAAAUGAUAAGCAAUCCAAUGUAUAUUGUAAAUGUUAAAAUAAUCUAAUUAAUUCUUUAUUGAGAUUCAAUAGCAAUCACUCAAAGGAUAUAAUCUCACAUUUCUUAUAAAUUUCUAAAAAUAUAAAUCUCUCAAUUAGCUUGAGAGAGACCUCUUUUCCCAUUAGCUUUCUUCUCUAUGCCAGAUCCCUUAUCUUAUAAACUUAUCAUUACAGACAAUAUAAUUUAUUAACAAAUAACAUCUACAAAUAUUUCGGAUUGUAACAACUGUGUGAGGAAGAUUACAUCCUUUUAACAAUGGCUGCAGCUCGUGAAUCUUCUAAAGCACUGGAAGAAUGUGCCAAUAAUUUACUUGUUGGACUUUUCUACACAAUGUGUUAAAUAAGUUCAGCUUUCACAGAAUGUUCUUAACACUCUCUUAGAGAUGCCAACGCUUUCACAGACAUUUGUCUGAAAUCCUUGAGCCAUAGUUAAUACUCAAUCACAGAUCUUUUGCCAUCAUCACUGUUAAGUUCCCAAAUUUCAAGAAAAAUAAUACUUUAGUCCCUUUACCUUAUCUAAAUCCAUCAGACUUUUUUCACUGACAGUUAACUCCAUUUCCACAGGAAAAAAAUGGUCAGCACACGUUAAGUAUCAGUCAAUCAGUGAUUAAAGUUCUUCUCUCUGAGGUCCUGUGAAACUAUGCAGAGCAAUUAUGAGGGGCUAAACAGCAAUUGUGUAGGUUGAUGGAAAUUAUUUGCCCAUGAUUUCCCAUACAGCCACACUGGUUACAAAAUGAGCUGCAUUUGCAAGGGUUACAAAUGUCAAUAGAGAAAACAUUGACUAUUUCAAAUCUGCCUAAUUAUACCACUUCAUAGUAAAAGUACAAUAAGAAAAGACAAAAUGGACACUUUAAAGAGGAGACUGGGAAGACCUCUGUGAACUUCAAUAGGGUGAAGCAAACAGAAUUUUUAAAAUUAUAUAUAACAACAAGGGAAAACAACUUUGAAAGACUUUGUACAGAGUUCUGAUCAAUGAUGUGAUAAAAGAUGAGUCCAGAAGACUUUUGCAAUGACUGCCACCAGGUGUCGUCCUGGACUGAACAACCAAAUGAUAGGUUUCUGUUGAAAAUCCUCGUUUGCUUUUGCCUUUGGCUAUUGUUUCCAAAAUGUGUUUCAGAUGUUGAAUAGUUGAGUGAUGUAAAUACUUCCUAUGUGCCAGGCAUUGUUCUUAAGCAAACUGGGGAUACAAGGAAAACCGAAAUAUUAGCUCUUCCUUCAAGAAACUCAGUCUCAUUGGGGAAAUAUCUCGCAAACCACUUUGUUCAAACAAGAUGCAAAGAGGAUAUAAAAUAAAGAUAAUCAACAGUGGGGAGACAGUAGCAGAACAAAAGUAAAAUGUCCCCAGUCCAGAACAGCAGUGUUGCCAUCCCAGGAGCAAAAGCACUGAUAGCUUCCACUAAAUGAGUGUCUUCUAUUAUCUGGUCAAAGAGUGCAUGUCUUCAUUGUCAUCCAGAAUGUGGAUGAAACGGGAAACUAGAAUCGAUAUAUUCCACAGGGAAAUCCCUGUCAGCCAAUUACUAUUCCUAAACUUCAAGGAUUUCAGCAGAGAUCUGAAAUGUUACUGUGCUUGGGUCUUGAGCUCUUAUACAUCUGGCCUCAGUAUCUUAUCACUAACACCUUAGACUUAGCAGGAUAACAUUCCUUUUUUUUUUUUUUUUUUAUUUAAUAGCCUUUUAUUUACAGGAUAUAUACAUGGGUAACUUUACAGCAUUAAAAAUUGCCAAACCUCUUGUUCCAAUUUUUCACCUCUUACCCACCCCCACCCCCUCCCCUAAAUGGCAGGAUGACCAGUAGAUGUUAAAUAUAUUAAAAUAUAACUUAGAUACACAAUAAGUAUACAUGACCAAAACAUUAUUUUGCUGUACAAAAAGAAUCAGACUCUGAAUUAUUGUACAAUUAGCUUGUGAAGGAAAUCAAAAGUGCAGGUGUGCAUAAAUAUAGGGAUUGGGAAUUCAAUGUAAUGGUUUUUAGUCAUCUCCCAGAGUUCUUUUUCUGGGUAUAGCUAGUUCAGUUCAUUACUGCUCCAUUAGAAAUGAUUUGGUUGAUCUUGUUGCUGAGGAUGGCCUGAUCCAUCAGGACUAGUCAUCAUCUAGUAUUGUUGUUGAAGUAUAUAAUGAUCUCCUGGUCCUGCUCAUUUCACUUAGCAUCAGUUCGUGUAAGUCUCUCCAGGCCUUUCUGAAAUCAUCCUGUUGGUCAUUUCUUACAGAACAGUAAUAUUCCAUAAUUUUCAUAUACCACAAUUUAUUCAGCCAUUCUCCAACUGAUGGACAUCCAUUCAGUUUCCAGUUUCUAGCCACUACAAAAAGGGCUGCCACAAACAUUCGUGCACAUACAGGUCCCUUUCCCUUCUUUAUAAUCUCUUUGGGAUAUAAUCCCAGUAGUAACACUGCUGGAUCAAAGGGUAUGCACAGUUUGAUAACUUUUUGAGCAUAGUUCCAAACUACUCUCCAAAAUGGUUGGAUUCGUUCACAACUCCACCAACAAUGAAUCAAUGUCCCAGUUUUCUCACAUCCCCUCCAACAAUCAUCAUUAUUUUUUCCUGUCAUCUUAGCCAAUCUGACAGGUGUGUAGUGGUAUCUUAGAGUUGUCUUAAUUUGCAUUUCUCUGAUUAAUAAUGACUUGGAGCAUCUUUUCAUAUGACUAGAAAUAGUUUCAAUUUCUUCAUCUGAGAAUUGUCUGUUCAUAUCCUUUGACCAUUUUUCAAUUGGAGAAUGGCUUGAUUUUUUAUAAAUUAGAGUUAAUUCUCUAUAUAUUUUGGAAAUGAGGCCUUUAUCAGAACCUUUGACUGUAAAAAUAUUUUCCCAGUUUAUUGCUUCCCUUCUAAUCUUGUCUGCAUUAGUUUUGUUUGUACAAAAGCUUUUCAGUUUGGUAUAAUCGAAAUUUUCUAUUUUGUGAUCAGUAAUGAUCUCUAGUUCUAGCAGGAUAACAUUCCUAUAAGUAAACAUAUAACUCAAUUAUUCUUGGUGACCCAUAAAAAUCCUGCUGUUUAAAUUGUCUAUAAAUGUUAAACAAUAGUAGCUUAAACCAGUUAGUCAACAAGUAUUUACUGUGCUAAAUGCUGAGACUUCAAAAAAAAGGGGGGGGGAACACAUUCUCUCCCCUCAAGGAGUUUAUAUACUAGUUGGGGAGACAGAAUGCAAAAAGUUAUACAUGUACACAAUAUAGGCAGUAUAAUGGAAGUUAAUCUAAGAGGGAAGGCACUAUUAGGGUACCUUUUACCAGACUAGCAGAAAAGACCUACAGAAAAUGAACUUGAGCUCAAUCUUGAGGGAAGCUAAGAAGAAGUAAGGAGUGAUCUAGCCCUAAGGAACAGCCAGUCAAAUGGCAUAGAAAACAUUGUAUCCAUGGGAGUUGAUAAUCCACAAGUGAAAUAAUAAGAGAAGAGGGCCUUGGAUAGCUCCUUGAUGGUUAUGAUCAGAAUGAAGAUCCAGCAAAGGAAACAGAAAAAGUGGUCAGGUGGGUGGGAAAAGUUCCAGGAAAGAGAAGAGAGCGGUCACAAAAAUUUGAGAAGUAUUCAGAAGAGGCUUAUCACUCUUAAUUGAGGCCUUUUGUUCCCUCUUCCUCAUUCAGUGAUCUUGUUCAUCUGUUCACAUAGGAAGAAGUAGGUCCUUUAUAGGUAGACCCUUAUUCAAUCCUGUCUUCUCUAACAUAUUCCCCUCAGAUCCCUACUCUCACAGCCCUUCUCACUCUCUUACAUCAGAGAGAUCAAGAAUAAGCGAGUAAAGAAAGGUCAUUACACCCGGAAUUAAGAGAUCUUUAGCAACUUUGAAGAGAGCCAUGUUAGAAACACACUCUUGACUCUAAAUCAGAUAUCGAGUAAAAUUGAAGAAGAAUCUUAAGGGAUCAUCUUAAUGUUUCUGGCCAGAAGCGGGCUCUGUUCCUCUGGGAAGAGGGAGCACACAAGCCAGACAAGCUUUAUAUUUAUUAGUUUGGUCCAUUCCCUUUUGGGUUAUAAUCUUUCUUAUACACCCACUCUGUUUCCCUCUAAAUAUGUAUAAACAUGUUCCCCCGCCCUAGUCCUACAUACCAUGUUUUUAAAAAGCAGGUGUGUUGUUUAAUAUCAAUUAGCUUAUUAAGCAGAAGCAAUAGUGAUUUGGUCACGUCAGAUUAUUGACCCCAACUGUUUGGGGCUGGAAAGGCUAUAUUACCUUCAGUUGGUAGAUUUUCUCAAAACCACAAGACUUGCUGAUUGGAUCCAUAAGAUCCACCUGUGGCUUCCUAGCACAUUUCCUUGUUUGAUCAAGGUUUCUAUGGAUCACUUAAUUGUUCUGUGGAAUCUUAAUCUUCCUUAAAGCUUGCAACACUGUGGAAACCCAACUUUUUUCAUGUAUCUUACAGCAAUUUCAAAUGAUCUUGCUGGAAGCCAAAUUGCACAGAGUUUAGAAGAGAGUGAAAAAGUAGAAAUACCAAGUGGUUUGUGCAAGGAAACAUGGAUAUAUCCGUUUUUAGGCAACAGUAGGUAUAGAUUAAUAAGAGAGUGAGAAGGGGUGUGAGGGUGGAGAUCUGAAGGGAAUAUGCUAGAGAAGACAGGACUGAAUAAGAGUCUACCUAUAAAGGACCUACUUCUUCCUAUGUGAACGGAUGAACAAGAGGAAGAAGGAACAAGGACUUUGAGGUGAAUGGCCUCAAUUAAGUAUUCAGUGUGGUACUUGGUUAAGGUGGGAAGAGGAAGGAGGGAAAUGCAAUAGGAAAGGGGGAAAAAACAUGAUUUAUUUAAGUUCAUGAGGGAAAUAAGGAAUUUUUUUUAAUAAUAACUUUUUAUUGACAGAACCCAUGCCAGGGUAAUAUUUUUUUACAUUAUCCCUUGCAUUCACUUCUGUUCCAAUUUUUCCCUCCCACCCUCCACCCCCUCCCCUAGAUGGCAAGCAGCCCUAUAUGUGUUGAGUAUGUCCUAGUAUAUCCUAGAUACAAUGUAUGUAUGCAGAUCCAAACAGUUUUCUUGUUGCACAGGGAGAAUUGGAUUCAGAAGGUAGAAAUAACCCGGGAAGAAAAACAAAAAUGCAAACAGUUUACAUUCAGGGAAAUAUGGAAUGUUAAAAGAUUAUGAUCAAGGACAGCUGGGUGGUGCAGGGGGUAGAGCACCAUCCCUGAAGUCAGGAGGACCUGAGUUCAAAUCUGACCUCAGACACUCAACACUUCCUGGCUGUGUGACCCAACAACAGUCCAAUGGAGACCUCAACAAGUAACACACCUGAGGUGUGCUUAAUCCAUCUCGAACCAGGCACCUCUCCUUCCGCCACUUUUGUCUUCUUUUGGUCUGGUGUCUUCUUCCCCCAUUAGAUUGUAAGCUUCUUUAGGGAGAAGGACUGUCUUUCUUAUAGUCUUAUCCCUAGGCUUAGUACAGUUCCUGGAAUGUGGUAAGCUCUCAACGUUUGUUGACUGACUGAGUGAUCUAAAGAGAAACCUCUGGUACAUUGGGUAACUUCCCUCUGGAUAAGUUACAAAAGAAUUUGGACAAACAUGCAGAGGAUGAACAUGUCAGGUUUGUAUUAAUGGAAAUAUCCCCCAAGUUGGUAAGAACAAAGCUCCAUCAAAAUUAGCUGAAUAAAUAGUGAAGGUCAAUGACAUUAACGGUUAAUCCCUAGAUUUUGUUCCCCUAAUCUAGCCCAAACUGAUGAUUUUCUGUAAAUAGUAACAGUUGAAUGUAAUUGGUGCUAUUAGAACCAUGGGAGUCACUCCCCUUAAGUCUCCCAGGUCUUUGAUGCUGCCCUCUUCUUCUUUAAAUUCUCUCAUGGUUAGGCCCUCUCCCCAAAUGCUCAGAUUUCCUUCUUUUCAAAUUCCACUUUCAUUCCUUGAUUUCAUUCCCUAAACAUUCAAGAGAGAGAAAUUGUAUUAUUUCACUGAAUUGAGAAUGACAAAUAAGGAUAUUUCUAUCUUAAAAGAAUCAAGCCAAAUGAAUCAAUCAGUGAUUGAUUUUCUUUUAAACAUCAAAAUAGAAUAAUAUGGUAUUAGCACUAUCUGAAAUCAUGGAGCCCAAGCUUUCAUUUUACAGAGGAGAAUACAUGCCAAGAGGAUUAGGGAUUUGUCCAAUGUCGCACAGCUAGUUGGUAGCAUUGUUGGAACUAGAAGCUAACUUUUUUUUUUAAUUUUUGAAGAUUCUUAUUUUCAAAACAUGCAUAGUUUUCAACAUUCACCCCUGCAAAACCUUGUGUUUCAAAUUUUUUC
ensembl:lncRNA